rnacentral:rRNA from 1 species
AUUGAACGCUGGCGGAAUGCUUUACACAUGCAAGUCGAACGAUGAACCCGGAGCUUGCUCCGGCGGAUUAGUGGCGAACGGGUGAGUAACACGUGAGUAACCUGCCCUUGACUCUGGGAUAACUGCUAGAAAUGGUAGCUAAUACCGGAUACGACCCUCGGUGGCAUCACCAGGGGGUGGAAAGAAUUUCGGUCAAGGAUGGACUCGCGGCCUAUCAGCUAGUUGGUGAGGUAACGGCUCACCAAGGCGACGACGGGUAGCCGGCCUGAGAGGGUGACCGGCCACACUGGGACUGAGACACGGCCCAGACUCCUACGGGAGGCAGCAGUGGGGAAUAUUGCACAAUGGGCGCAAGCCUGAUGCAGCAACGCCGCGUGAGGGAUGACGGCCUUCGGGUUGUAAACCUCUUUUAGUAGGGAAGAAGCGAAAGUGACGGUACCUGCAGAAAAAGCACCGGCUAACUACGUGCCAGCCGCCGCGGUAA